rnacentral:rRNA from 1 species
AUGUGAUCGUCUCUCGCAUAUCAAUAAGCGGAGGAAAAGAAACUAACAAGGAUUCCCUUAGUAACGGCGAGUGAAGCGGGAAGAGCUCAAAUUUGAAAUCUUCAAGGUUUUACCUUGACGAAUUGUAGUUUAAAGAAGUGUUUUCUGUUGAAGUUUUGGUAAAAGUUCUUUGGAAUAGGACAUCAUAGAGGGUGAGAAUCCCGUAUUUGACCAUUAUUUUCAGCUGUGUGAUACACUUUCAAAGAGUCGGAUUGUUUGGGAAUGCAGUCCAAAAUGGGUAGUAAAUUUCAUCUAAAGCUAAAUAUUGGCGAGAGACCGAUAGCGAACAAGUACCGUGAGGGAAAGAUGAAAAGAACUUUGAAAAGAGAGUUAAACAGUACGUGAAAUUGUCAAAAGGGAAGCGUUUGACACCAGUGUUGUUUUCUCGAAAAUCAAUUAAAAAGAGUUAGAUUUUGUUGUGUAUUGACCUUAACAGCUUGCAUUUCAAUUUUCUUGCUUUUUUUAAUGCACUUUUCGUUUAACAAGUCAACAUCAGUUUCUUUUGUUGUAAAAAGGUCAUUGGAAGGUGGCUUUCUUUUCGGAGAAAGUGUUUAUAGCCUUUGACUCCUGCAAUCGGAGAGGACUGAGGUCUGCAGCGUAGAUCCUUCGGGGUUAGAUACAUUUGUGCUAAGUUAUAGCUUUUUAUAGACAACUUGUUGACUAUGAUUAGUCUUGUAGCUUACUCGCUUAUGCUAUUUUACCUACGCUUAGGAUGUUGAAGAUGUAGCACAUCAU